UACGUAGGGUGCAAGCGUUGUCCGGAAUUAUUGGGCGUAAAGAGCUUGUAGGCGGUUUGUCGCGUCUGCUGUGAAAAUUUCGGGGCUCAACCCCGAACCUUGCAGUGGGUACGGGCAGACUAGAGUGUGGUAGGGGAGACUGGAAUUCCUGGUGUAGCGGUGGAAUGCGCAGAUAUCAGGAGGAACACCGGUGGCGAAGGCGGAUCUCUGGGCCAUUACUGACGCUGAGGAGCGAAAGCGUGGGAGCGAACAGG
rnacentral:rRNA from 1 species